AGCGAACGCUGGCGGCAGGCCUAACACAUGCAAGUCGAACGAACCUUUCGGGGUUAGUGGCGGACGGGUGAGUAACACGUGGGAACGUGCCUUUAGGUUCGGAAUAACUCAGGGAAACUUGUGCUAAUACCGAAUGUGCCCUUCGGGGGAAAGAUUUAUCGCCUUUAGAGCGGCCCGCGUCUGAUUAGCUAGUUGGUUGAGGUAAUGGCUCACCAAGGCGACGAUCAGUAGCUGGUCUGAGAGGAUGAUCAGCUACAUUGGGACUGAGACACGGCCCAAACUCCUACGGGAAGCAGCAGUGGGGAAUCUUGCGCAAUGGGCGAAAGCCUGACGCAGCCAUGCCGCGUGAAUGAUGAAGGUCUUAGGAUUGUAAAAUUCUUUCACCGGGGACGAUAAUGACGGUACCCGGAGAAGAAGCCCCGGCUAACUUCGUG
rnacentral:rRNA from 1 species